GACGAACGCUGGCGGCGUGCCUAAUACAUGCAAGUAGAACGCACAGUUUAUACCGUAGCUUGCUACACCAUAGACUGUGAGUUGCGAACGGGUGAGUAACGCGUAGGUAACCUGCCUGGUAGCGGGGGAUAACUAUUGGAAACGAUAGCUAAUACCGCAUAAUAUUAAUUAUUGCAUGAUAAUUAAUUGAAAGGUGCAAUUGCACCACUACCAGAUGGACCUGCGUUGUAUUAGCUAGUAGGUGAGGUAACGGCUCACCUAGGCGACGAUACAUAGCCGACCUGAGAGGGUGAUCGGCCACACUGGGACUGAGACACGGCCCAGAAUCCUACGGGAGGCAGCAGUAGGGAAUCUUCGGCAAUGGACGAAAGUCUGACCGAGCAACGCCGCGUGAGUGAAGAAGGUUUUCGGAUCGGAAAGCUCGGUUGUAAGAGAAGAACGGGUGUGAGAGUGGAAAGUUCACACUGUGACGGUAUCUUACCAGAAAGGGACGGCUAACUACGUG
rnacentral:rRNA from 1 species